rnacentral:tRNA from 2 species
CGCGGGAUGGAGCAGUGGUAGCUCGUCGGGCUCAUAACCCGAAGGUCGGGGGUUCGAAUCCCUCUCCCGCUACCA